CCAGUAAACGAAUGAAAAUUGGACAGUGUUGUAGGUACUGAUUGAUGUAGGCUUGAUGAUAGCCACAAAGUGAAAAUUGACUGCACUACAAGAAAUGUUA